GCCUUCGUGCUGUAACGGUAGCACACUCGGCUCGUAUUCGAGGGGUCCAAGUUCGAGUCCCGGCAAGGGCA
rfam:Stegodyphus mimosarum contig66823, whole genome shotgun sequence.